rnacentral:lncRNA from 1 species
AAAGCUUAUUAUCUAUUUCUGAAACUUUUGCAAACACCACCUUAGUGUGAUAUUAUCUAUUUCUGAAACUUUUCGACUAAUCAUCUCUUAAACCUUUUAAAUACGUACCAGUUUAAUCUUUUCACUUUUAUUUAGUUGCCUUCUGCGUGCUGAUUUAAUGUCUGAUAUCAAAUGUGUUGAAACAGGUGAGGAGGAUAAUGGAAGGAAAUCGACGAAUGGGAA